UGGGCACACGUGUUAGAAGAAGAAGAGUUUGGUUUUCUCUUUCUUUCUCCCGAAGGAUGAGUUCGACGAUUGAGUCUCAUUCCAUCUCUUCCUUAGUCGAUCUCUCCUCGAUUCACCACUCCAACAAGAGGAAUGGGAACGUCGGCGUAACUGUUCCGGUGCCAUGGCUUUCAUUUGGUGCGUACGCAGGUGAGCUUCUAGGUUAGCUUCCGUGUAUGGUAAUCGGAUGGUUCGAGUCCGAUCCAUCUCCUCCGUUGUUUACCGUCCGUCUCUAGCUCGCAACCCAUCUCCGUUUAGUCCUUUUGCCCUUUACUCGACGGCUAUUGAUCGGAUGAGCUCCGAGCAAUCGCUUCUCCGCGUGAUUGACUCCGAGAUCAACACUGCUCUCCAAAUCAAUGAUCCUGAUUUGCAAAAGUGGUGGUGGAAUUGUCUAGCAAGAGCUUGUUCAAGCAGCUGUUCUGCUUCAUCCUUCUUUUGUUACGGUCGAUGAUAUCAAGAUUUGGUGCAGGUGGGAAGGUGUCAAUUGCUAUACUAGGAGCUGAGAUUGAUCGGUUGUCCCCACCAGCACUCUUGAAACAAUUUGAGGAGAUUCUUGCUUCCAAACCCGAGGUAAAGCCUCUGCUUCUUCUGUAACUCAACAAGUUUCAUCUUUUUGAAACUAUAGAAGUUAAAGUAAUUGACUUGUAAAACGGGAAUGCGUAGGACAAGAAUAUGCUAUUUGCAUGGGACAAGUGAAUGUGAGCAUACUAGCAAACUAUUGUCUUGGUGAUCAUAAAAUAUUUAUGUUUAAUAAAAAAAAAAAUUCUUAAGAACCCUUAAUUUAAGAACCUACCAUUGGAGCAAUUAAACUAAAUGUUUCUUAAAAAAAAGUUCUUAAUCUACAUUUAUUAUUAAAAUACUCAUUAAGAACUCCUAAUGGGGUUCCAUGGUUAAUCAUGCUCUUAAACCCUCAACUAUGUUUAUAUUUAAAUAAUUCUUCAACUAAAAAAUGUUACUAAAUUUGACCUUCCAUCGUUGAAAACGUUUGAUCCCUCAAUGGCUUCCGUCAAAAUAUAAGAAAUGAUUAUUUUCUGUGUGACAAAACAACUUUUUUCAAGAUUCUUCGAAAUAAUAACA